rnacentral:rRNA from 1 species
UACGGAGGGGGCUAGCGUUAUUCGGAAUCAUUGGGCGUAAAGGGCGUGUAGGCGGCUUCGUAAGUCCCGUGUGGAAGCCCUCGGCUCAACCGAGGAAUUGCAUGGGAAACUGCAGAGCUUGAGUCCGGGAGAGGAGAGCGGAAUUCCCAGUGUAGCGGUGAAAUGCGUAGAUACUGGGAGGAACACCGGUGGCGAAGGCGGCUCUCUGGACCGGUACUGACGCUGAUACGCGAAAGCUAGGGGAGCAAAC